AAUUAACACCGGAGAUUGAGAACAAAAUUAUUGGUAAUGUGUGCAUUCUUGCGGUAAGGGCAGGAUGGUAGGAGGGUGCUUAUUCACAAACUUCUUUUCUUGGAUGAUCGUUUGGUUUUGAGAAGGUAAAUAAGUUGUAGAAGGAGCUCACAAGGCAAGAGGAAAGGUAUAAUGAUCCACUGAUCAAAACUGAAAGAUAUAAUACCAUGGGAUUUCCAUGCAAUUGAAGAUUGGACUUUCAGAAUAUUGCUUUGAAUUGGAAGAUAGGUAGAACAACAUGUUUUAUUUUGCAAACAGGGAACACACAAUCCUCUUGAAGUAAGGUCUAUUUUUUCCUUAGAGUGGCACUUGUCAUAUCACUUAGGCUUUGUGUGUUCUUUAUGAUGUACAGGUGUACGCAAUCUUACAUGCUCCUUGAAAACGAUUAGUUAUCUGUUGAUAACUUGACAUGAAUACAUGAUGCUGGAUGAUGCACUGUAUCAAAAAUUCCUGUAACUUUCACUUUUAGACAAGUUACAUAUUUCAUUCUGCGUGCAAGUGCAUAAUCAUGACGCACACAUCUUUGUAAAUUUAUUCAUGCAUUUGACUGUUUUUAGAAUCAACAUAAUUUUUUCAGUCUAUAAUGGUAUUCUUGUGGGAAAAAAACACAUCACCGAAACCUAUAAAAAAACAUCAAUGCCUCAUAUGAUGCUCAUAAAACUUUUCUCUGCCUCAAGAAGUCAAGGGAAGCUCUAGAACAUAUAUUAAUAAUAGGCAAACACUCGUGGAGGUAUCAUGCCUAAUCUGCUAGACGACGAUAAGCAUCAGUUUGUAGUAGACAUUUUUUAAGGUGUAGUUUUUUGUCAUGGAAAUAAUUUUUGGAAAUCGUCCCAAGUACUUUAGUUUAGCACAUCUCCUUGAAGGUAAAAAUAAUUUUUCUUGGUUUGGUUCUCUCAAGGAGGAGGUGAUGCAGGACUGUAUGUUAGAAGCUACCCUAGAUGAUAGGCAGAGUGUCCUUUAGCAGAUUGGGCCAUUUACCCAUACUGAACUGCCUCUGUUACCACUAUUUGAACUUAGCGCAUGAUUUUGAAAUGUUGAUCCAUGUUACUCCUUGUUUGUUUUCUAACGUUCUUAGGGUGGAAUAUUGUGUCCAGACUUCAAAGGGGACAAACUGUUAUAUGCAAUGACAAAUGAGUGCAUGGGUGACUCUGCCCCUUUAGAUGAUG